CUGGCGGCGCGCCUAACACAUGCAAGUCGAACGGUUCUGAUGCGAGACUAAGCUAAUUGGUGGUUCAUAUUGGCUUGGGUCUUGUAAUCAGGAUAGUGGCGGACGGGUGAGUAACACGUGAGCAACCUGCCUAACGGAAUGGGAUAGCGUUUGGAAACGAACGGUAAUACCGUAUAACAUAUGCAAUGCGCAUGCACAGCAUAUCAAAGGAGCAAUCCGCUGUUAGAUGGGCUCGCGGCCAAUUAGGUAGUUGGCGGGGUAACGGCUCACCAAGCCGACGAUUGGUAGCCGGACUGAGAGGUUGAUCGGCCACAUUGGGACUGAGACACGGCCCAGACUCCUACGGGAGGCAGCAGUGGGGGAUAUUGCACAAUGGAGGAAAAACCUCUGAUGCAGCGACGCCGCGUGAGGGAAGACGGUCUUCGGAUUGUAAACCUCUGUCUUAGGGGAAGAGUAAAAGACGGUACCCUAGGAGGAAGCCACGGCUAACUACGUGCCAGCCGCGGC
rnacentral:rRNA from 1 species